rnacentral:rRNA from 1 species
UACGUAGGGUCCAAGCGUUAAUCGGAAUUACUGGGCGUAAAGCGUGCGCAGGCGGUUGUGCAAGACCGAUGUGAAAUCACCGAGCUUAACUUGGGAAUUGCAUUUGUGACUGCACGGCUAGAGUGUGUCAGAGGGGGGUAGAAUUCCACGUGUAGCAGUGAAAUGCGUAGAGAUGUGGAGGAAUACCGAUGGCGAAGGCAGCCCCCUGGGAUAACACUGACGCUCAUGCACGAAAGCGUGGGGAGCAAACAGGAUUAGAAACCCCAGUAGUCC